rnacentral:rRNA from 1 species
AGUCUUAACACAUGCAAGUCGAACGCCCCGCAAGGGGAGUGGCAGACGGGUGAGUAACACGUGGGGAUCUGCCCAAUGGUACGGAAUAAUUCCGGGAAACUGGGACUAAUACCGUAUGAGCCCGCAAGGGGAAAGAUUUAUCGCCAUUGGAUGAACCCGCGUCGGAUUAGCUAGUUGGUGUGGUAAAGGCGCACCAAGGCGACGAUCCGUAGCUGGUCUGAGAGGAUGAUCAGCCACACUGGGACUGAGACACGGCCCAGACUCCUACGGGAGGCAGCAGUGGGGAAUAUUGGACAAUGGGCGCAAGCCUGAUCCAGCCAUGCCGCGUGAGUGAUGAAGGCCUUAGGGUUGUAAAGCUCUUUCGCCGACGAAGAUAAUGACGGUAGUCGGAGAAGAAGCCCCGGCUAACUUCGUGCCAGCAGCCGCGGUAAUACGAAGGGGGCUAGCGUUGUUCGGAAUCACUGGGCGUAAAGCGCACGUAGGCGGAUAUUUAAGUCAGGGGUGAAAGCCUGGAGCUCAACUCCAGAACUGCCCUUGAUACUGGGUAUCUCGAGUCCGGAAGAGGUAAGUGGAACUGCGAGUGUAGAGGUGAAAUUCGUAGAUAUUCGCAAGAACACCAGUGGCGAAGGCGGCUUACUGGUCCGGUACUGACGCUGAGGUGCGAAAGCGUGGGGAGCAAA